UUAGGAAGAAGAGUUCGCUGUCCAUGGUGAGAUGUUCUCUGGCCUGUCACCGGGUAUUUCCUGCUCCGGUUUCGCCAUUUCAGGGAGAGCAGUCUGAGCGGUAAUUGGACUGUGAAUGAGGUUGGAAGGAAAUAGGAAAGAGAUGAUCCAUUGGAUGUAACAAGGACGCUGAUGAGUAUACCAGCCAGUCGACGCUACAACAUAUAGGUUGGCUUCCGCUAGAAGCACAGAGGCCCUUUCACUGUAGCAGGGGGCUCAGCCUGCUCAUUUAGAUGGAGCCAUGAGUAGCCUGACAGGAGACUAGCCUAACUGUCUUCUGAGAGACUUCAUCCAGCAGCUGAUGGAGACAAAUGCAGAAACGCACAACCAAGCAAUAAGCCAAGGCAGCACUCACCCAUUUGAGGGCCUUCCAGACCACCUGGUGGAUCCGCUCUCCCCAUUGCUUCUGAUGGAAACUUUGUGGCCUUGCUGCAGUGGCUGCUCUGGAGACC